GUGAGACUUUUUCAACUACGAUCCUCUGGCUAUUUUUAUCUCUCAUUGGGCAGCGGUGGUAGUUCGACCGGAGAGAUCUCGCAGACUGGCAGCAAUUGGGUAAAUACGAUCGUACUGCCACAUAAAUGUGGACGGUGGAGUUAAUGCAUCAGCUUCCGAAAAUCCACCCAUAGAUUCGGUAACUUUCCUAACCACUUGCGUAAGGUCAAAGAUCGAAAGGUCUGCAGGUGUUGAACUCCUGGUGACGAAUAAACGUACAGUUUUCUCAAUCUAGUCCAGUCGGCCGUCCAUUCCGUGAGAAUGUUUCCACAGUCAAUGACAUAUCAUCGCAACCUGCCCUCGA